CAGAUUGUUGUGCUAGGAUGGGGUGGAUUACGGGUAGAGAAGAUGGAAUUCCAGGAUGAAGAUGAGCUUGUCCCCACCUUCAAGGAGCACUCAAUCUAGCUAGAGGCCAGGACUGGGUAUGGUCAGUUUAAACUGUCUUCUUUAUAGCUGCUGGUGUAAAAAAAUACAACAUUCAAUUACUUAGAUAUUUCAUUUAAAAUAACAAAUUGCUUGGUAUAUAAUUACAUAACUUUAGGGUUAUGCUUUUUUUAAAACCAUGAGUUUGGAGAAAAUUCAAGGUAGUGGAUUAAUUUUUUAUUAUUG
rnacentral:lncRNA from 1 species